CUCAUGAUAGGUGGGAUGGACUGCGAGUAGCACAGGGGUGGGAUUAAAGAGCUCAUGAUAGGUGGGAUGGACAGAGUAGUACAGGGGUGGGAUUAAAGUGCUCAUGAUAGGUGGGAUGGACUGCGAGUAGCACAAGGGUGGGAUUAAAGAGCUCAUGAUAGGUGGGAUGGACUGCGAGUAGCAGAGGGGUGGGAUUAAAGAGCUCAUGAUAGGCGGGAUGGACUGCGAGUAGCACAAGGGUGGGAUUAAAGAGCUCAUGAUAGGUGGGAUGGACUGCGAGUAGCAGAGGUGUGGGAUUAAAGAGCUCAUGAUAGGUGGGAUGGACUGCGAGUAGCACACGGGUGGGAGUAAAGAGCUCAUGAUAGGUGGGAUGGACUGCGAGUAGCAGAGGGGUGGGAUUAAAGAGCUCAUGAUAGGCGGGAUG
ensembl:lncRNA